rnacentral:rRNA from 2 species
UCCGUUGGUGAACCAGCGGAGGGGUCAUUA